UACAGAGGUCUCGAGCGUUGUUCGGAUUCAUUGGGCGUAAAGGGUGCGUAGGCGGCGCGGUAAGUCGGGUGUGAAAUCUUGGAGCUUAACUCCGAAACUGCAUUCGAUACUGCCGUGCUUGAGGACUGGAGAGGAGACUGGAAUUUACGGUGUAGCGGUGAAAUGCGUAGAUAUCAUGAGGAAUACCAGAGGCGAAGGCAGCCUCCUGGGCCAGCACUGACGCUCGAUGCACGAAAGCGUGGGGAGCAAACAGG
rnacentral:rRNA from 1 species